UUUAGAUUAGGUUCUCCCUUAAACACUAUUUUGAGUCUUUAUUUUGAAAGAUUUAAUUCCAGAAAGACCCAAAAUAGUGUUUAGGGGAGCACCUAAUCUAAA